UAGUUUACGUUAAUCAUUAGUGGCUUGUCAGUUGGCGAUAUCAGCAGCUAGUUAGCAUCCUUUUCUAAACAAGACGCUCAUUGAUUAAUUGCAUUUUAAGGCUUAUCUUUAUUUUUGUCAUUUGUAAGUGGGUCACAGGAUUGCCCCUAGAUAGCCUCAUUUAUAGCGUCUUCUUUUUGUUCCUCUUCUUCUGUUCUUCUGGCUUCGCCGCUUUAACAGAAGUGGCCUUGACGGGCUCUCCGCUGCUCUGGGUGACCGGGGAUCCUCGCUUUUUCCCGACGAGCAGACCGCCACAGACGGCGGCCCAGGACAGACCGAGCAGCAGCAGCAGACCCACCGCGGCCGUGGACAGGAUGAGCCACGUCGGGUACAGCUCGGGCUUCAGACCCAAAUCCACCCCGAACUGAGCCCUGGCAUAUCCUUGACCAGAAGAAAGGAGCUCCUUCAAUCGGCUGGAAAGCAGUUCAGCUUUUUCCAGCGCCAAAUCGCGCAAGUCCCCAGCCAUCUUUCCAAAUUGCGAAAACACUAGGUACAACAAAGCUGCUGCAGCUGGAAAUGGAACAGAAAUGACCACAAAGUGUUGUAGACUUAUCCUGUGAUGAACAGGUAUACAAGCCACAAAACAUCUGUUACAACUGAGUGGCAUCCCCGUGACGGCUCUCUCACCAAGUUCUCGUUGACGAUACCAUCACUGGCAGCAAAGAAAGCAAGGACAUGG